GGCUUGAUAGCUCAGUUGGCGAGAGCAUUGCACCGGCAUUGCAAGGUCAUCGGUUUGAAUCCCGUUCAAGCCU